UCCUGUCUGAAUAUGGGGGGACCAUCCUCCAAGGCUAAAUACUCCUGACUGACCGAUAGUGAACCAGUACCGUGAGGGAAAGGCGAAAAGAACCCCGGCGAGGGGAGUGAAAAAGAACCUGAAACCGUGUACGUACAAGCAGUGGGAGCACCUUCGGGUGUGACUGCGUACCUUUUGUAUAAUGGGUCAGCGACUUAUAUUCUGUAGCAAGGUUAACCGUAUAGGGGAGCCGCAGGGAAACCGAGUCUUAACUGGGCGUUAAGUUGCAGGGUAUAGACCCGAAACCCGGUGAUCUAGCCAUGGGCAGGUU
rnacentral:rRNA from 1 species